UUGAACACCGGUUCACGUACGAUCACCAAAGUUAAGCAACGUCGAGCCUGGUCAGUACCUACAUGGGUGAACGCUUGAAAAAUAGCAGUGCUGUAAG